rnacentral:rRNA from 1 species
GAAAAGCAGGGGAUGCAAGACUUGCGCUUUUGGAGCGGCCGAUGUCUGAUUAGCUAGUUGGUGAGGUAAAGGCUUACCAAGGCGUCGAUCAGUAGCUGGUCUGAGAGGACGACCAGCCACACUGGGACUGAGACACGGCCCAGACUCCUACGGGAGGCAGCAGUGGGGAAUUUUGGACAAUGGGGGAAACCCUGAUCCAGCCAUGCCGCGUGAGUGAAGAAGGCCUUCGGGUUGUAAAGCUCUUUCAGCCGGAACGAAACGGUCACAGCUAAUACCUGUGACUACUGACGGUACCGGAAGAAGAAGCACCGGCUAACUACGUGCCAGCAGCCGCGGUAAUACGUAGGGUGCGAGCGUUAAUCGGAAUUACUGGGCGUAAAGCGUGCGCAGGCGGUUUUGUAAGUCAGAUGUGAAAUCCCCGGGCUUAACCUGGGAACUGCGUUUGAAACUACAAGGCU